AUGCCGGGGAUGAUACAACCCUAAUCCAACGCCGAAUGCGUACGUGUGGAUUCACAAAACGAGCUUUUUAAUACUGAGGCAUG
rnacentral:snoRNA from 1 species